UACGUAGGGUCCGAGCGUUGUCCGGAAUUAUUGGGCGUAAAGAGCUCGUAGGCGGUUUGUUGCGUCGGCUGUGAAAUCCCGAGGCUCAACCUCGGGUCUGCAGUCGAUACGAGCAAACUAGAGUGUUGCAGGGGAGACUGGAAUUCCUGGUGUAGCGGUGAAAUGCGCAGAUAUCAGGAGGAACACCGGUGGCGAAGGCGGGUCUCUGGGCAACAACUGACGCUGGAGGAGCGAAAGCGUCGGGGAGCGAACAGG
rnacentral:rRNA from 1 species